rnacentral:misc_RNA from 1 species
GAACUGCGAUAAGUAAUGUGAAUUGCAGAAUUCAGUGAAUCAUCGAGUCUUUGAACGCACAUUGCGCCCCCUGGCAUUCCGGGGGGCAUGCCUGUCCGAGCGUCAUUGCUGCCCUUCAAGCCCGGCUUGUGUGUUGGGUCGUCGUCCCCCCCGGGGGACGGACCCGAAAGGCAGCGGCGGCACCGUGUCCGGUCCUCGAGCGUAUGGGGCUUUGUCACCCGCUCGAUUAGGACCAGCCGGGCGCCCGCCGGCGUCAAACCCCAAUCUUUCUAAGGUUGACCUCGGAUCAGGUAGGGAUACCCGCUGAACUUAAGC